ACGAACGCUGGCGGCGUGCUUAACACAUGCAAGUCGAACGGAAAGGCCCUGCUUUUGUGGGGUGCUCGAGUGGCGAACGGGUGAGUAACACGUGAGUAACCUGCCCUUGACUUUGGGAUAACUUCAGGAAACUGGGGCUAAUACCGGAUAGGAGCUCCUGCUGCAUGGUGGGGGUUGGAAAGUUUCGGCGGUUGGGGAUGGACUCGCGGCUUAUCAGCUUGUUGGUGGGGUAGUGGCUUACCAAGGCUUUGACGGGUAGCCGGCCUGAGAGGGUGACCGGCCACAUUGGGACUGAGAUACGGCCCAGACUCCUACGGGAGGCAGCAGUGGGGAAUAUUGCACAAUGGGCGGAAGCCUGAUGCAGCAACGCCGCGUGCGGGAUGACGGCCUUCGGGUUGUAAACCGCUUUCGCCUGUGACGAAGCGUGAGUGAUGGUAAUGGGUAAAGAAGCACCGGCUAACUACGUG
rnacentral:rRNA from 1 species